rnacentral:rRNA from 1 species
GAUGAACGCUGGCGGCGUGCCUAACACAUGCAAGUCGAGCGAUGAAGUUUCCUUCGGGAAAUGGAUUAGCGGCGGACGGGUGAGUAACACGUGGGUAACCUGCCUCAUAGUGGGGGAUAGCCUUCCGAAAGGGAGAUUAAUACCGCAUAACAUCAUUAGAUGGCAUCAUUUAGUGAUCAAAGGAUUUAUUCGCUAUGAGAUGGACCCGCGUCGCAUUAGCUAGUUGGUAGGGUAAUGGCUUACCAAGGCGACGAUGCGUAGCCGACCUGAGAGGGUGAUCGGCCACAUUGGGACUGAGACACGGCCCAGACUCCUACGGGAGGCAGCAGUGGGGAAUAUUGCACAAUGGGGGAAACCCUGAUGCAGCAACGCCGCGUGAGUGAUGACGGUCUUCGGAUUGUAAAGUUCUGUCUUUGGGGACGAUAAUGACGGUACCCAAGGAGGAAGCCACGGCUAACUAC